ensembl:lncRNA
GUAACCUGAACUAGGGCACUAGCUGGUGGGUGGUAGGGUGGGGAUGGGGUGGGGGAGUGUGGGCUUUUGAAACAACUUGGUGGGUUCAUGUUUCUGGGAUGACCAUGGACCCCCUUAACCACUAAGCUCACACUAUUCACCAGAGUUCAUAAAAUGGUCACUGGGCAACCUAUUUGUUUCGGCUUAUGUGGUAAUAGAGUGGACCCUUGACUUAUGAACUCAGUUUGUUCUCGAGGUCUGGUUAUAACUCAAGUUGGUCAAUGAAGGCUCAGGCUCCUCUACACAGCCUUCAAAGUCUCUCUUCUGUCUACAGGCAGAUCUCAGUGUUCUUAGAGAGACUUUGGGCCUGGGUCUCAACCCCUCACAGGAAAGGAUGUUGUAAUCUUCCUUCCAGAACUCUUUAAGGGUUAAAUCUGUAUCUGAGACCAUCUGGAAGCACAAGUGGCUGGCAUUCAGAAAGCCCAUCUAUGUGGAACCUGAAGGCCAACCUCAGAGGAACCUGUUGUCUCUCCUCCAGGAACUCAUCUGUGUCCAGGAAGAUGCUUGUUCUAUUCUAAUCAGAAGCCAGUGGGUGCUGGCCUGCUGGCUGGCUGUAAACCGGAGAAUGAGCGGAGGCCAGGGAGUGUGAGCAUAUCUUCAGGCCACCACUCUGGUCUCACCCUUAGUCAACUACACUGGCCCCUUGACCAGUUUCACAGCACCGACUCCUACUAUCUUCUAACAGACUGGCUGCUGCCACUGUGAUAUUUCUGGACAAUCACCUGGAACACAUUCUGUUGUUUAAAACCUUCCAGUGGCAUCUCUGUGCUCUUGUCACAGUAUUGAAAAGCUGACUAAUACAACCUGUAAGACCCUAAAUGAUCAAACAAGUCUAUAUCUGAAACCUUAUCUGGACACUCUUCUCCUUAUUACUGACAGUCCAGCCAAACCAGCUUUAGCAAUGUAAAUGAACCAAGAGCUCUUCUCCUUAAAAGACCAUUUCACUAGACAUUCCUUCUGCCCAUAAUAUCUCCCACUUCUCCAGACACCUCUCAGCCCCUGCUGAUGAUCAAGAUCAUUUAAAAACUAGGUAGGAAUCAAAGAGAGUCAUCAGUUUGCUGA